AACGGAUAAGUAGGUUAUCUUCUUCUUUCAGAAAGUCUGCGGGUGCUGCGAGCAGAUAGGAGGGAUAGGUGAAAUUCUACCGUUAGUAACAAUUACAUACACAAUCAAGUGCACACCUGUGAAGUUGGAUGGAACCGUGGCCCUGCCACUCCAACGCUUUGUCGGGUGUGCUUUUUUCAU
rnacentral:misc_RNA from 1 species